ACUUGUGACAGCCACAUGCCGGGUCUUUUCACUUCUCACCAAAGUUUUCAUCCACCUAAAAUUUGUUUUUUUUUCAUUUUUCCUUCUUCUUACUUUAGAUCGACGAGAUUGAAAGAGUUGGGGCUUAAUUAGGGAUCUAGAUGGCCUGUGAAUUCCCUUGAUUAGCUUGAUUCAAAAUAUCUUUAAUCUCCAAUCAUCACUGGCAACACCUUAGGUUUUUCUUUUUUUAAUCUUCUUCCACUUUCAUUAAAAUUGGGGCAUGAUUUGAUGAUGAAGAUGAGGAAGGUCUUCUGCCAACGGCAAUGCUUAAAGGAAGGUAGCAGAUUUGGCUAAUUAUAAAUUUGUGGUGCUGCAGGAAGAAAUCAUGCUGCUCAUCCUAAAUAAAUACCAUAUUUUGGUUUGCUAUACAUGUUCCUAAGGUUUGUUUCUUCAUCCAUGAUCUGAUUCUAAUGACUAAUUUGGGUUGUUUGAUAUACAUGUUCCUAAAGCUACUGAAUGAAAAGUUUGAGUUUAAGCUAUCCACAAUAUGACCAACCAUUCCAUCUUAAAUGUGGGCAGAGGGAUAAGAGAUAAUGCUGCUAUUCUUCCUACUUAUUUGGAAAUUUGGAAAGUGCAGAUACAAGGAUCCGUUCUCCCAUCCUAGAGGCUCAAUUUAGUAUUGGGUUCUGGACUUCCAAUUAGCAUUUGUUCUCUAGCUUCGACAUUCCCACGAACUUCCACUUCAGUAAUGCAGUUAUCCCCAGACUUGGACAUCGAUUUUUGUUGCUGUUGCUAUCCUGGAUGACUAGGAACUGCCUGGGUAGCACUAACAGACAUCGUGGCACUGCUGGUACUGGCUGUUGUGGUAACACUGGAGGACGUUGAGGCAGUAGUUCCCAGUGUUAGAUCGGUGUUGAUACUACCAUCAGUGUCGUUGUCCCCACUAUUGGACGCUGAUACUAGUUGCUGUUGAUGUCCUUGAUGAGGAACUGCUGGGUUGAUGAUACUAAAGAACAUCGUGGCAGUGCUUGUACCAGCUGUUGUGGUGACAUUGGAGGACGUUGAGGCAGUGGUUCCUAAUAUCAGUUUGGUGUUAGCAUUAUGAGCAGUAUCAUUACGAAACAGAGGUUGUGGUCUACUGUCACUCUGAUUACCAAGAUAUCUAAGACUUUUUUCUCCUUCAACAGUUGAUUGUGUAUUGAGGCCUUCAGUAAUGACUUCUUCUCUUAACAGAACGUCAUCUCCUCCAACACUUGCAGCUGCGUCUUUGUAAAAUUUGCUGUCAUAGAGAUGACAGAGAACCCAGUCGUCGUCUUUAUUCAUCAUACUGGUCUCAUCAUUACCUUGAUUUAGCACGAAUUCUUUCAUGAGCCAUUCGGUUUUAUCUCCGGUCUUCUUACUCUUACCGUUGUAGAAUGUAAAACUGUUCUUGUAGGCGAUUACCGUACCGGGGAGUCCCUCUAUGGGCUUAGUUCCAGAGUUCUGCCACACUCCGCUGUUUCCUCCAACAGUACGUUUUGUUCGAGUGCCUUUUUCACUCACUUUCUGGGUUGGGGUAAAAUAAAAAGCGUGUCUCUCUGGGUUCCUUUCUGCAGGAAAUAUUCAUCCACAUGCAUUUAGUGAUUCAGGCAGGUACCAUAUCUCAGAAUAAGGUCCAGAAUAAACAAAGACUGGGAAAAAAAAAAAAAAGGUAGACAGGAUGUGGUUACCUAAGAGUUCUUGAGGGUGAAAUGCAUAAAUGUCAGCCUCGGUGAUUUCAGGAGCCCUAAAGUGUGGGUUAGCAACCUUUGGUAUUAAGUACUUCAGCACCAAUUCUAGUCCGUUGGCUGAAACCUGUAGCCGUAUGGAAGUCCAGUACGGUGAUUUAUCUGAGGCCUACGGUGACAUAGGAUUGAAUUUCAAGAAACAGAAAAUAGAAGCAAGAACAACAUCAGAAAGAUUUGAACGAAGGAGAGAAAGAAAAUGAUACUAACUACUAAGACAGAGACAUAAGACAUUGUACCUAAUCAUUGAAGUUUGUUGUUCAGUUCUUGGCGAUGGAUCAAUGGAAGGAGUGAUUCUUGAUGGGUAUCUGAUAAGGAGAAAACCCUUUCGUCAGACAUGAAUGUACAGAGAGAGAAAUAAAUAGAGAAGGAGAAAAUAAGAAACAAGUAAUGAACAAUGAAGUUAUGAUCAGCAACUUACAGUGUUGUUUCAGGUUGAGAAUUCUCCUCAUCUGAUAUCUUUCGUUUUCCCGUAAUUCUCCGUAAAUCUGAAUCCUCGUUGUUGUCUUUCAUAUUUUAGACUUUGAGGUGAUCUUGCUAAACAGUAAUAGCAGUCUUUGUUUUGUUUUAAUUUCUCUGGUUUGAAUCUUCUAGUUCCUGGAACAGUAAUGGUGGUGCUUCUUUUUUAGUUUUUUGAUCUCUUCCAAUUGUUUUGCGGUAUUUUAUAUACGGGUCUGAUGUUAUUGCUUUUGA